UAGCUGAGCGGUAAAACGCUUGGCUUCCGAACCAGGGAUCCCGGGUUCGAAUCCCGG
rnacentral:tRNA from 1 species